GAGGCGAACCGGGGGAACUGAAACAUCUAAGUACCCCGAGGAAAAGAAAUCAACCGAGAUUCCGAAAGUAGCGGCGAGCGAAAUUGGACUAGCCCUUAAGCUUUACACGCGUUAGACGAACGGUCUGGAAAGUCCGACGAUACAGGGUGAUAGUCCCGUAGUUGACGACGUGUGUUCAGUGAAAUCGAGUAGGGCGGGACACGUGAUAUCCUGUCUGAAUAUGGGGGGACCAUCCUCCAAGGCUAAAUACUACUGACUGACCGAUAGUGAACCAGUACCGUGAGGGAAAGGCGAAAAGAACCCCUGUGAGGGGAGUGAAAUAGAACCUGAAACCGUGUACGUACAAGCAGUAGGAGCAGGCUUUGUCCUGUGACUGCGUACCUUUUGUAUAAUGGGUCAGCGACUUAUAUUCAGUGGCAAGGUUAACCAUCUAGGGGAGCCGUAGGGAAACCGAGUCUUAACUGGGCGUUCAGUCUCUGGAUAUAGACCCGAAACCAGGUGAUCUAGCCAUGGGCAGGUUGAAGGUUGAGUAACAUCAACUGGAGGACCGAACCGACUAAUGUUGAAAAAUUAGCGGAUGACUUGUGGCUAGGGGUGAAAGGCCAAUCAAACCUGGAGAUAGCUGGUUCUCCCCGAAAGCUAUUUAGGUAGCGCCUCGGACGAAUACUACUGGGGGUAGAGCACUGUUAAGGCUAGGGGGUCAUCCCGACUUACCAACCCUUUGCAAACUCCGAAUACCAGUAAGUACUAUCCGGGAGACACACGGCGGGUGCUAACGUCCGUCGUGGAGAGGGAAACAACCCAGACCGCCAGCUAAGGUCCCAAAUUACUACUAAGUGGGAAACGAUGUGGGAAGGCUCAGACAGCCAGGAUGUUGGCUUAGAAGCAGCCAUCAUUUAAAGAAAGCGUAAUAGCUCACUGGUCGAGUCGGCCUGCGCGGAAGAUGUAACGGGGCUAAGUAGUAAACCGAAGCUGCGGCAAUAUACUUUUGUAUAUUGGGUAGGGGAGCGUUCUGUAAGCGGUUGAAGGUGUGUGGUAACGCAUGCUGGACGUAUCAGAAGUGCGAAUGCUGACAUGAGUAACGAUAAAGGGGGUGAAAAACCUCCUCGCCGGAAGACCAAGGGUUCCUGUCCAACGUUAAUCGGGGCAGGGUAAGUCGACCCCUAAGGCGAGGCCGAAAGGCGUAGUCGAUGGGAAACGGGUUAAUAUUCCCGUACUUCUUACAAUUGCGAUGGGGGGACGGAGAAGGCUAGGUGGGCCUGGCGACGGUUGUCCAGGUUCAAGUGCGUAGGCUUAAGAGUUAGGUAAAUCCGGCUCUUUUUAAGGCUGAG
rnacentral:rRNA from 1 species